AGGGAGGCCAAUGAAGCGUCAAGCCAGGCUGCUGUUCAGAAGGAAGCUUUAGGAUUGCAAACUAAAGCCAAAACCAAGGAAUCUGAAUUUGAAAAACCAAUAAAUUCAGCAUCAGCAGGUGUGUAGAUGUGACUGGAGCUUACAGUGCUCUAAAGAUGGAGCUUAACAUAAGCUUGACAACAAUAGGCCUUUUGUGGACUACAACUGACUUUAUUGCAAAGGGGAUUACACAUGGACCUGUGGAAGAAAGGGAAACAAGAAAGGGAAACAGGUAUAUGACAAGUGCACAACAAAUGGACUCACAACAAAGACAAGUGCACAAAGGAUGAUGAAUUGAAGGAUGGAGCAAGUUUCAUGCAUGGUUUACUUUUGUGUAUCUUGUAAUUUUUUGUUUUUCAUUUUUGAAGUAAAAAAUGUUCAAGAUUAUAAAACUUUAUUAUGUUAUGCUUUCAAACUUAAGUUAGAACUAAGAUCUCAUGAAAUAGACACAUUCAGAGUUUGAAUUAGUUAUUGUUUAAUGUAAUACUUAUGGUUUAUCAAUCUAUUGAGAAUUAUAUUUUAUGAUUAA